CAGUAGCCGCGGUAAUACGUAGGGUGCAAGCGUUAAUCGGAAUUACUGGGCGUAAAGCGUGCGCAGGCGGUUAUAUAAGACAGAUGUGAAAUCCCCGGGCUCAACCUGGGAACUGCAUUUGUGAUUGUAUAGCUAGAGUACGGCAGAGGGGGAUGGAAUUCCGCGUGUAGCAGUGAAAUGCGUAGAUAUGCGGAGGAACACCGAUGGCGAAGGCAAUCCCCUGGGCCUGUACUGACGCUCAUGCACGAAAGCGUGGGGAGCAAACAGGAUUAGAUACCCGAGUAGUCCCUGUCUCUUAUAA
rnacentral:rRNA from 1 species